UACAGAGGGGGCGAGCGUUGUUCGGAAUUACUGGGCGUAAAGGGCUCGUAGGCGGCCAACUAAGUCGGACGUGGAAAUCCCUCGGCUUAACCGGGGAACUGCGUCCGAUACUGGAUGGCUUGAGUUCGGGAGAGGGGAUGCGGAAUUCCAGGUGUAGCGGUGAAAUGCGUAGAUAUCUGGAGGAGCACCGGUGGCGAAGGCGGCAUCCUGGACCGACACUGACGCUGAGGAGCGAAAGCCAGGGGAGCAAACAGG
rnacentral:rRNA from 1 species